GCUCUUGUCGUCCAUGGGUAGGGCACCGGGUUGUCAGUCCGGGUAACGGGGUUCGAGUCCCCGCAGGAGCG
rnacentral:tRNA from 1 species